rnacentral:lncRNA from 1 species
GUGGAAGCACCCCGCCUCCCUUCUUCUGUAAGCGAUGCGAAGCACCAGCUCCUUGCUCUUCCUGUCUUCCCUCCGAUUUGCUGCAUGCGUACCUGAUUUCAAACUCUAAGCAUCAAAUCCAUUGGAGCCACCGAGCUAUUGCCAAAUUGAAUCCCCUGCAAAUCCACAACCAAUCAACCAUCGUCUACUUUUUUCCCUCUCGAGCACACACGCCAAAGCAGCAGCAGCACGCCAACCCCAUUCCCAAAAUCUUUGCUCUCUGGCCCUUCUUCAGCAGAGCAAGCAGAUCAG